rnacentral:lncRNA from 1 species
UAAUACAUUCAACAACUAAGACUUUGAGCCAUGAGAUUAUAUGUCAAUAGUUACAUUUAAGCUUGUGAGAGCAUAAAUCAAUCAUAAAAAGGUAGAAAGAUUAAGCUCCAGAACACAAUAAGGGCUUAAACUACCUAUUUGAAAACGGUGAAACAAAUCAUUAAAUCUAACUAAUUUUAAAUGAUCAUGUUUUAAGAAUUAAUAUGGUACAGCUAAGAGAAGGCUACAAAAUCAUCAAUCAAGAAGACUCUAUAUAAGAUUGAUAAUUAGAGACAACUGUCACUGCUCGGUCACAUACUGUGGUCGACAUGAGCAAUGACAGACAUGUUAUGGAUAAUUUUUUAUCCACAAUUCCAUGGAGCUCCUCCGUUCUAAACCUCACUGCUUUGACUGCUUUUGAAUGUCACACCAGGAAUACCCUUCCUGCUCUAAUAAUAGCAAGCUAUCAGAAUCAAGCAAUAAUAUAGUGUGAAUAACUGAACAUGGAAAUCCGACAGUAAUAUAUACUAAUGAUCCUUUAAAGUAAUUAUGACCACAGUUGUCUACUCAAAGCUCAAAAGUGCACUUAACAAUCGUGUACAACAAUUAGUUUUAUACACUGCCACCAAAAUAUUUUAACCAACACUUCGACCAACAGCCCUGGUGAAGUGUAAUAUAUAAUUAAUAUGGUCAAUCAAGCAUAUUAUAUUAAUGUAUUAGAACUAAUAAAAGUGCACUGAGAAGGCAGCCAUAAAGCAAGAACAACCACUGCUAAGGGCACUGACGAUCACAGUAAUGAGAAAAAGUAACACAUGGCAAUAACAAAGAAACGUAAUCCAUUAUGAAGAGAGGAUGUAGGUGGAAAGAAACGUAAUCCAAAAAAUAAGACUAAUAUAGACAAGCCUCCAAAACUAAUACUACUAUUGACACACCUCUGACACUAAGACUAUAUAUAGACAAGCCUCCAAAAGUAAGGCUAAUGGAACACGAAGUAGUACCUCCUGCAAUUUCUUCAAUCUAAUUCCUUUUGAUUCUAUGGGAAAAGGUUGCAACAAGAGGAAUAGCCUGCAAAAAUAGAUAGAGCAAUUGUUGUACAAGUCAAAAAAAAGUUACUGCUAGCCAUAGUGCAUACAUUCUAUCUCUUAUUGUACUUUUUGCAACAUACUACAACUCAGAGCAGAUACAUGACAUAUCAUGGUAAUGCCACAAUGGUUAUUAUCGACUGGAAUCAGUUGUCCAGAUUUUUACUGGUAAAUCAAUUCAGUUUACAUGCAACCAAUAAAAUUUUAUAGGGAAAUGUUGUACUGAUAUCAUGGUGGCGCAAGCAUAGAAGUUGUUACAGAGUGGAAAGAACAGUCUAGAUUUUCAGUACUGAAUAUGUCCGUCUAGCAUCGCAAAAAGCUACAGUUAAGC